CGCUAAUCAGAACUCAUAUUCCAGCUGCGAUUGCACCAAUCUGUGACGGUGCACAAUGACCGCAUGAGCUACGUCGUGCUGUAGGAGGAGGAAGAAGAAUGGGAGAAAGAGGAGGCGCUUUUGCCUGGGGCAGUGGGUCAUCCGUCAAACCAGGAGGAGAGACCGGCCUCGACAGAGAGAAGCUGUGACCGGCUCUCUCCGGAGCUGCACGACAGGACCUGAAGCGCGCCGGUCACUCCCUGCAGGGCCAACGCCGACAUGCUGCACCGAGGUCCAGACUGUCCUGCUGGGCCUGCCGGGCCGGAUGGGCCACGGGUCAGAGGGAGGCGGGCUGAUGGCAGACAGUGAUCUUCCCCAAAGGGAGGCUGGACCACAAACAAUUGUCGAAAGUCAUUAGGGAGAAGUUUGGACAAGUCUGCUUAUUCAAAGACACUUUUGUACAAAGUAUUUAUUUUUUUUUUUCAAAUGGACUGUACUGCACACUGCUGUCUAUUCGGCUGUGGUGGGAAGUAAGUAGGCCUGUCAGUAUUGAAUAUUUUUAAAAUGGA